GGAUGCGAUCAUACCAGCACUAAAGCACCGGAUCCCAUCAGAACUCCGAAGUUAAGCGUGCUUGGGCGAGAGUAGUACUAGGAUGGGUGACCUCCUGGGAAGUCCUUGUGUUGCAUUCG
rnacentral:rRNA from 1 species